UCUCAAUCGGUCUAUUUCGGAAUAUGAAGGACGAGUUACUUUACGUCAGUUGGAAUCAAAUGAUCCACCGUCGAAUGUCUAACAUGGAUGUCUCCCAUGGCAACGCAUAGCGCCUCAUGACGAGAUCUUCACAAGACAACUUGUGACACUGAACGGCUAAAUCGUCAAGUGUUUCAAGUCGUACGGAAUGAAUGGAGAACUGCAGAUCCUGUGAGUGGCUUCGAGAACGGCGAAGAUCUCACGAAACUGGCAAGUCGGCACAUUGCAUGCAACCCUAUUACGUCACAUUCAGAGAAAGGCGUGGCAAAUUUCACAGUAAAAACAUUGUCCGAACGUGCUAGCGUCAAAGGGAUAGUCAAAGAUCAUGGCCCCUGCGUAGCUAUGCAAGAGGAUAUAAAAAUUGUGGCAUUUUAUGGAAGCAUUUCAAAGCUAGGCUAUCCCAAAGUGAAAAUUUGGAUUAAUUAAUUAAUAUUAACUACGGGUGCCAUCCCUAUCUAGCGCACUCUCAGAUACUGAAAAUAUUAAAAUUAUUGAUAAGAUACUAAAAAUAUUAAAAAAUUUAAUCAAAAAAUAAAAUAAUUAAUGCUAAAAUAUUUAUAUAAUACUAAAAAUAUCAAAUAAUAAAAAUAUAAAAAGGGACUUGGUACUAUGAGCGCAAGAUUCUACAUCGUGAUGUCAGUCCUACUUGCCGCAUGUGCAGUCUAGGCCUAGAAACAGUCGACCAAAUUGUGGCAGGCUGUAGUGCUCUGGUACCGAUGGACUACACUGAUCAACACAAUCAGGUGGCCUCCAUCAUUCACUGGGAUGUUUGUCGUCAUUUUGGGGUUCCAGUGGAGAGCAGAUGGUACCAGCAUCAUUCUGAUAGGCUUGUGGAGACGGAUGACAUUACUAUGAUGUGGGAUACCAACAUCCCGACUGCCAGGAAGAUCAAAGCCAAUCGUCCAGACAUCUGUCUCAGAAAUAAGAAGACAAACAGUUGUCUUCUUAUUGAUAUCAGCUGUCCUGCUGAUGGCAACAUUGGCAAGAAACAUGCUGAGAAGUUGGCGAAGUACAGCGACUUGCGAGUGGAGAUAAGCCGCAUGUGGCAUGGUCGAACACUGGUGGUUCCGGUGGUCUUGGGAGCUUUUGGCACAGUGCACGCAGGUAUUGCACGGUGGCUGGACAUUAUUCCAGGUCAUCACAACCUGCAGCACUUACAGAAAACAGUGCUUCUGGGAUGUACUCGGAUUCUUCGUAAAGUCAUGUCUUCUUUCUAGA